AAUUACUGCUAUCGGGGUUCGACUAANCCAUGCGAGUCUACGGACUUCGGUCCAUGGCGGACGGCUCAGUAACACGUGGCUAACCUACCCUCGGGUGGGGGAUAACCUCGGGAAACUGAGGAUAAUACCCCAUAGGAGAAGAGGUCUGGAAUGAUCCUUCUCUGAAAACAUAUGUGCCCGAGGAUGGGGCCUGCGUCUGAUUAGGUAGUUGGUGGGGUAACGGCCCACCAAGCCUACGAUCAGUACGGGCCUUGAGAGAGGCAGCCCGGAGAUGGGGACUGAGACACGGCCCCAGGCCCUACGGGGCGCAGCAGGCGCGAAACCUCCGCAAUGCACGAAAGUGCGACGGGGGGACCCCAAGUGCUUACGCACUGCGUAGGCUUUUCUAAAGUGUAAAAAGCUUUAGGAAUAAGGGCUGGGCAAGUCCGGUGCCAGCAGCCGCGGUAACACCGGCGGCCCGAGUGGUGACCACUUUUAUUGGGCCUAAAGCGCCCGUAGCCGGUCCAGUAAGUCCCUGUUUAAAUCCUACGGCUUAACCGUAGGGCUGGCAGGGAUACUGCUGGACUUGGGACCGGGAGAGGGCGAGGGUACUUCAGGGGUAGCGGUGAAAUGUGUUGAUCCCUGGAGGACCACCUAUGGCGAAGGCACUCGCCUGGAACGGGUCCGACGGUGAGGGACGAAAGCCANGGGCGCGAACCGGAUUGGAUACCCGGGUAGUCCUGGCCGUAAACUCUGCGGACUAGGUGUUAGGUAGGCCCCGUGCCUAUNUAGUGCCGAAAGGAAGCCGUUNAGUCCGCCNCCUGGGGAGUNUGGUCGCAA
rnacentral:rRNA from 1 species